rnacentral:snRNA from 1 species
GGAUGUGAGGGCCAUCUCGCUGUGACAUCUGUCACCCUAUUGAUCACCAGGGUUGAUUCAGCUGAUCUGGCUGGCUAGGCCUACCUCAUGGCUCCAUGUGCAUCCCUUCCAAAGCUGCUGGGUCGAAGAGGACAACAACCCCCGAUAGAGGAGGACCAUUCCCGGAUCAAGGGUAUACGAAUAGCUGUGCUCCCCUGCUAGAACCCCCAAAGAAACUCUCAAGGUUCUCAAGGUCUGUAGCUUUGCCUAUUUUAGAUAUUUCCAAAAAAAUGGAGUCAUAUAGUAUUUGUCCUUUUGUGU